AUACGGAGGGGGCUAGCGUUGUUCGGAAUUACUGGGCGCAAAGCGCGCGUAGGCGGGUUGGCAAGUUGAAGGUGAAAUCCCAGGGCUCAACCCUGGAACUGCCUCCAAAACUGCCAGUCUUGAGUUCGGAAGAGGUGAGUGGAAUUCCUAGUGUAGAGGUGAAAUUCGUAGAUAUUAGGAAGAACACCAGUGGCGAAGGCGACUCACUGGUCCGAUACUGACGCUGAGGUGCGAAAGCGUGGGGAGCAAACAGUAUUAGAAACCCUAGUAGUCC
rnacentral:rRNA from 1 species